ACCGGUAAAGGCCCAAAGAGAGCCUCGGGUCCUGUCUAAGUUACAGUCUCCGGCCUGCAGGGGGCACCGUGGGGCGUCUUAGGCAGGCUCUCCACUGCAGUUUGUUGUUCCACGACCUUCUUCAGGUGCCGUCAGCCAUGGUGGUGAGUUGCUCAAGUGGUGGUCCGUAUGAAGCAGUCUGGGCUCCUGCUUUGCUCCAUGUUGGACCCUGGUUCUGCAGGCGGUGCUCAGGAUGAAGGCUGGCGUUCUGCCAGCGCAAUGUUGGAACCUAGUUCUGCAGAGUAGCAGGUUCAGGACGGUCUGGGGUUCUGCUCGACGCCAUGUUGGACCCUAGUUUUGCAGAGCAACAGGUGGUGGUCAGUGUGCUGGGCUCCAUGUUGGACCCUGGUCCUGCAGAGUAGCAGCCCGGCGGUGGUGGUGAAGGGUGAAGGAGGCUGGGCUCCAUGUUGGACCCUGGUUCUGCAGAGCAGCAGGCAAUGCUCAGGAUGAAGGCUGGCGUUCUGCCAGCGCAAUGUUGGAACCUAGUUCUGAAGAGUAGCAGACAGGCAGGGUUCAGGAUGGUCUGGGGUUCUGCUCGGCGCCAUGUUGGACCCUAGUUUUGCAGAGCAGCAGGGCUGACGGGCCAGUCCCCUUCUCCACCCACUGCUCUCAGACAUGGAAAGUGGAAGCUGGCCACUUGAAGUCUACAUCUCUUGAGAUUAUUGUUUUAAAUAAAGUUUCUGUUGACAAGAUGUCCUGGGUUCGAUUUGUUUCAUUGUUCCUCAUAUCGAGAAUAAGUAGGGGAAAGUGGCCGCAUAAUUGAAAAAAGUUUGUUGAAUCAGAUGACGAUGAACUGCAAUGCAUCAUGGGAUUUAAUGCCAAAAUAAGUGCAUGGUUUGUACGCAUUUGGAUUCGUACACCAGGGAGGAACCAGAUAAAUCUUUGAAGGUCCCAUGGCAUGCCACCAGGUGUGAU